UACGUAGGGGGCAAGCGUUGUCCGGAUUUAUUGGGCGUAAAGAGCGUGUAGGCGGCCAGGUAGGUCUGCUGUGAAAACUCGAGGCUUAACCUCGAGCUGUCGGCGGAAACCAUCUGGCUAGAGUCCGGAAGAGGAGAAUGGAAUUCCCGGUGUAGCGGUGAAAUGCGCAGAUAUCGGGAGGAACACCAGUGGCGAAGGCGGCUUCCUGGCCUGUUCUUGACGCUGAGGCGCGAAAGCUAGGGGAGCAAACGGG
rnacentral:rRNA from 1 species